rnacentral:rRNA from 1 species
GAUGAACGCCGACAGAAUGCUUAACACAUGCAAGUCUACUUGAUUCUACUUCGGUAGUUGAUGGUGGCGGACGGGUGAGUAACGCGUAAAGAAUCUGCCCUUUAGUUUGGGAUAACCUUUGGAAACGAAGGCUAAUACCGGAUAUUAUGGAGACGUCGCAUGGCGACUCCAUGAAAGCUAUAUGCGCUAGAGGAGGACUUUGCGUCCCAUUAGUUAGUUGGUGAGGUAAUGGCUCACCAAGACCGCGAUGGGUAGCCGGCCUGAGAGGGUGAUCGGCCACAAGGGAACUGAGACACGGUCCUUACUCCUACGGGAGGCAGCAGUGGGGAAUAUUGGACAAUGGGCCACAAGCCUGAUCCAGCAAUUCUGUGUGCACGAUGAAGGUCUUCGGAUUGUAAAGUGCUUUCAGUAGGGAAGAAAAAAAUGACGGUACCUACAGAAGAAGCGACGGCUAAAUAUGUGCCAGCAGCCGCAGUAAAAC